rnacentral:rRNA from 1 species
CUACGGGCCGCAGCAGUGAGGAAUAUUGCACAAUGGGGGGAACCCUGAUGCAGCAACGCCGCGUGGAGGAUGACGCAUUUCGGUGUGUAAACUCCUUUUAUAUGUCAAGAAAAUGACGGUAGCAUAUGAAUAAGCACCGGCUAACUCCGUGCCAGCAGCCGCGGUAAUACGGAGGGUGCAAGCGUUACUCGGAAUCACUGGGCGUAAAGGACGCGUAGGCGGGUUGGAAAGUCAGGUGUGAAAUCCUACAGCUUAACUGUAGAACUGCACUUGAAACUUCUAAUCUAGAGUAUAGGAGGGGGAGAUGGAAUUAGUGGUGUAGGGGUAAAAUCCGUAGAUAUCACUAGGAAUACCUAAAGCGAAGGCGAUCUCCUGGAACAUGACUGACGCUAAGGCGUGAAAGCGUGGGGAGCAAACAGGAUUAGAUACCCCCGUAGUC